rnacentral:tRNA from 3 species
GGGCCCGUAGCUUAGUCAGGUAGAGCAUCGGGCUUUUAACCCGAGGGUCACGGGUUCGAUUCCCGUCGGGCCCG